rnacentral:lncRNA from 1 species
GGAAGUUGGCUUUUCGUUACAGAAGAGUAAAAGAAUUAUAUAACACCUACAAGAACAACGUUGGAGACUCCUUGGCCCUGCCAAGAGGGAUGCCUGGCUACAGUUAAGGGCAGAGAUUGAAGGUCUGACAGAUUCCUGGCUAACAAAUGCACUUAAGUCUUUAUCAAUUAUUAGCACUAGAGUAACUGCAUAAAUGUCUUGGUAACGACAACUCAACUGAUCCCAGCACUUGCGAAGGUUCUACUCUAUAGUUUAGGAGGUGCUUUCCCCAUUGAGAAUAUUUACAGUGCAACUAAAAUAGCAAGGAAAGCUGUUUUGAGCGUAUAGUGUCCAGAUUUGGCACUAACAUAACU